GCCGCGUGAGUGAGGAAGGCCUUCGGGUUGUAAAGCUCUGUCAGAUGGGAAGAACAGCAGUUGGUCCAAUAGGCCAUCUGUUUGACGGUACCUUCAAAGGAAGCACCGGCUAACUUCGUGCCAGCAGCCGCGGUAAUACGAAGGGUGCAAGCGUUGUUCGGAUUUACUGGGCGUAAAGCGCGCGCAGGCGGAUUGAUAAGUCAGAUGUGAAAUCUCGGGGCUCAACCCCGAAACUGCGUCUGAAACUGUUGAUCUAGAGUUAUGUAGGGGAGAAGGGAAUUUCGCAUGUAGGGGUAAAAUCCGUARAGAUGCGAAGGAACACCAGAGCCGAAGGGGCUUCUCUGGGCAUACACUGACGCUGAGGCGCGAAAGCGUGGGUAGCAAACAGGAUUAGAUACCCUGGUAGUCCACGCCGUAAACGAUGAGUACUAGAUUUUGGGGCCUUUGACCGCUUCAGAGUCGCAGCUAACGCAUUAAGUACUCCGCCUGGGAAGUACGGUCGCAAGACUAAAACUCA
rnacentral:rRNA from 1 species